UGAACGCUGGCGGCGUGCUUAACACAUGCAAGUCGAACGAGAAAGGGAUUGCUUGCAAUCCUGAGUAGAGUGGCGCACGGGUGAGUAACACGUAGAUAAUCUACCUUCAAGACCGGGAUAACUAAUCGAAAGGCUAGCUAAUACCGGAUGAAGUAUAUGAACAAAAGUUUAUAUAUGAAAGGUUGCCUCUUCAUGAAAGCAAUCACUUGGAGAUGAGUUUGCGUACCAUUAGCUUGUUGGUGGGGUAAAGGCCUACCAAGGCUACGAUGGUUAGCUGGUCUGAGAGGAUGAUCAGUCACACUGGAACUGGAACACGGUCCAGACUCCUACGGGAGGCAGCAGUGAGGAAUUUUGCGCAAUGGGGGUAACCCUGACGCAGCAACGCCGCGUGAGUGAAGAAGGCCUUUGGGUCGUAAAGCUCUGUCAACUGGGAAGAAGUUAAGAUAUAUUAAUAGUGUAUUUUAUUGACGGUACCAGUGGAGGAAGCGCCGGCUAACUCC
rnacentral:rRNA from 1 species